rnacentral:ncRNA from 2 species
UGCUUAUAGAGAAAGACGGAGGGAUUAGACCCAACGAAGUCUUAGCAACCUGUGCAAACAAGGUGCUACAUUCUAUCCGCAGCUGGCGGAAAAGAUAAGUG